rnacentral:rRNA from 1 species
CAGUAGCCACGGUAAUACGAAGGGUGCAAGCGUUAAUCGGAAUUACUGGGCGUAAAGCGUGCGUAGGCGGUUUGUUAAGUCUGUUGUGAAAUCCCCGGGCUCAACCUGGGAACUGCAUUUGUGACUGGCAAGCUAGAGUGUGGCAGAGGGGGGUGGAAUUCCGCGUGUAGCAGUGAAAUGCGUAGAUAUGCGGAGGAACACCGAUGGCGAAGGCAGCCCCCUGGGCCAACACUGACGCUCAUGCACGAAAGCGUGGGGAGCAAACAGGAUUAGAUACCCCUGUAGUCCCUGUCUCUUAUAC